UACGGGGGGGGCAAGCGUUGUUCGGAAUUACUGGGCGUAAAGGGCUCGUAGGUGGCCAACUAAGUCAGACGUGAAAUCCCUCGGCUUAACCGGGGAACUGCGUCUGAUACUGGAUGGCUUGAGUUUGGGAGAGGGAUGCGGAAUUCCAGGUGUAGCGGUGAAAUGCGUAGAUAUCUGGAGGAACACCGGUGGCGAAGGCGGGUCUCUGGGCAACAACUGACGCUGAGGAGCGAAAGCGUGGGGAGCGAACAGG
rnacentral:rRNA from 1 species